GUCCAAAGAUGACAACCCAUUAGGUGGCAUGUUGGUACAGGAAGACAGCCACUGUGGCGAUCCAGGAAGACAGCUGUAUUCGUUGUUGAUCUCUUGGCCAUACCCUAGCUGACUGCAUGGAAGAAAGAAGAAAUGCAGUCCAAAUGGAAAGAUUAUGAAAAAGUGGUGUUUUCGCAGAGUAGAUCUUCGUACCAGCAACAAGAGCUGUUAUACAAUGGUCUGAGAAUGGAUUCAUUAGUCCAGUGGUGAAGUGGUCACCUCAGAUGUAAACAGGUUAGAUAUAUUGAUCAGUGUUGUCAUUUGUUGAUGGCUGAUUGUAAUUAUCAAUAAAUGAUAAUGUGGGAGGGGUUAGAGGGAUCUAGAAAGGGUUAAUAAGAAAAUUGGGACCUCCUUGGUGAACCUGACUAACUGAAUAUUGAACUUGGGUGUGUUGACGGGAUAAACUGCAUUAUCAAAGGAAAGGGAAAGAAAGGAGCUCUGGAACAAGCUUAACUAAAUGGAGAAUAGGUUAGGAAUAUUAAAUUAUUAUUUCAAGUAAGCAAAUCUAAGAUGAUGAGAAAGAUAUCUCUGAAAACAGGUUUUGGGUUAAACCAAAAGCCAAAGCCUGAAUACUUGGUUUGUGGUACUACAUGGUUUUGGAGAAGUAAGUUGUGCAAUAGAUAAAUUGUCAGACCCCAACUAAUCACCAAAACAUAUUUGAAAAACAUAAUCGGAGCAGAGUUGGGAGAAAUAUCUAACGGACUUUUAGCUGAGAUAGAAAAAAAAAGAUUGAGAAGUCAUGGUAAAGAGAGCAAGAACAUAGCAUGGUUGUAUGAAUCUCGUUUAUGAGUAAUGAAAAUCUACAUUUUCUGGAGAUUUUGGUUGGUGAUCACCAAGUAAUGAAUAGAGUGAAUUUAUGACUUAGGGAUAUUGAAGAUUUUUCGUGGUUGAAAUAUACCAUUUUAUUAAAUUCCAUGACACCUUAUAUAUCGUGUUAGAAAGUAUUGGCAAGCAGUAAUAAAGUGCAUUCCAUGCACCAGGAGCACUUGCAGAAAAUUUUUUGUGCAUUACAUUUUGUAAUCAAGUUUUGUAAUUUGAUCUAAAAAAAAAAAAGAUAAAGAAAAAGGCUGUAAAGAGAGUGGCUGUAAAUUGAUAGUUGUGAUUGCAAUAGGAAGGGAAUUGUUAUUGUUAGAAGCAGAGUAGGAUGUUGAAUAUGACUAGUGUUAGGUAUCGCAGUGACAAUAAAGUCUUCAUCACCAUUGACGUCAUGAAAGAAGUUGGGUUGUCAUCGAGGAGGGAAGGCUAGGAGCGGUCAGAAACCAAUAUGUAAUGUCAGUUAGAGCAAAACAAGAUACAGAUGAAUGUUGAGAGUAAUCAAAGUGAAUGGGUGUGACCAUCAUUGGUCUCCACUGAGGAAAAAAAAAAGUACACAACUAGUACUACCAAGUAUCUCGUCUGUCAUUGAGACAUAGGUGUGGUCGACAAAACAAAGCUUUGUCUCUAAUCAAAGAUAGAAAGGGUGGUGGUCAUCGAACAGUGAGAGGAGAGGCUUCGGUGUCGUUGCUCAUCAAAGAGAGGGUGCGGCCUAAUCCUCAUUGAAGAGCAGAGGAUGGACUUCGUCAUCAUUGGUCUCUGACAAGAGAGAAGGGGAUGGCAUGGUUGUCAGUCAUCGAAGAGAGAAGAGGAUGGGCAAGGUCAUCGUCGGUCAUCGAAGAUAGAAGAGGAUGGGCAUGGUCGCCGGUCAUCGAAGAGAGAAGCGGAUGGCAUGGUCGUCGUCGGUCAUCAAAGAGAGAAGAGUAUGGGCAUGGUCAUUGUCGGUCAUCGAAGAGAGAAGAGGAUGGGCAUGGUCGUCGUCGGUCAUCGAAGAAAGAAGAGGAUGGGCACGGUCGUCAUCGAAGAGAGAAGAGGAUGGGCACGGUCGUCGUUGGUCAUCGAAGAGAGAAGAGAAUGGGCAUGGUGGUCGUCGGUCAUCGAAGAGAGAAGAGAGUGGGCAAGGUCUCAUCGGUCAUUGAAGAGAGAAGAGGAUGGGCAUGGUCGUCGUCGGUCAUCGAAGAGAGAAGAGGAUGGGCAUGGUCGUCGUCGGUCAUCGAAGAGAGAAGAGGAUGGGCAUGGUCGUCGUCGGUCAUUGAAGAGAGGAGGAUGGGCAUGGUCUUCGUCAGUCAUCGAAGAGGUUGGGCAUGGUCGUCAUCGGUCAUCGAAGAGGAUGGGCGUGGUCGUCAUCGGUCAUCGAAGAGGAUGGGCGUGGUCGUCAUCGGUCAUUGAAGAGGACGGGCGUGGUCGUCACCGGUCAUUGGAGAGAAGAGGAUGGGCACGGCGUCAGUCUCGAAGAAAAGAGAAUGUGCUGGGUUGUCGAUUCUCGAGGUGAAAAGAGGAUGGGGGUGUCUGCCAUAAGAAGAAAGAAGACUAGGCGUGAUUGUCGUCACUCAUCAAAGAGACAAGAGGAUGGGCGUGGUUAUCAUGGGUCGCUUUGGUGCUGCCUGCAUAUGAGAGAGUGAUCCCUUGUGUCUGCCCUCACAAGAAAGGAUUCUCCUGCCACCAGAUUUUAAGAAGUGGGUGUUUUCAGUUCUCGUAGAGAAACUAGUUUAAGAUUAUUAGUUCAUUCUGUUUUGAGUGAGGUUUCUUUGUCAUAGUUGGCCAUUGGAGUUAUUAAUGAAGCUAUGUGGACUAUAAUGAUUGUGAAUAUUAAAGCAACAGCUGGAGGAGAUCUCAUCGGUGCAAGUGCUACCAAGUCAUGUGGAGUACAGGAAACAUGUCAAGCAGGAUUGUGAAGCAGUAUUUUUGUUUAUACUGCUGCCUAUAUCAAGAAUGAGUACUGCCUAAACAGAGUAGUAAUGAGGGGGAACAGUGGUUUGGGAACCAGUUUCCUCCAGAGUAAUCAUAGAAAUUGAAUUUGAUUUACAUGUUGCUACACCUUAAAGGAUCCUUGGGAAGUGGGGAGUGUUAAGAAAUGGUGAAUGACCGUGGCCGUGAAACUGACAACUAAGUAAUUCUGGAUGACUGUGAAGUUCGGUUAUUUGCACCCUUAUAAAAAUUGCACACGAAGUGAAAGAUGGUUAUGAUGGAAACUACAAAUUUUCUCCAGAGCAACUGCAGGCAGAGCUUGGUUAUGAUGGAAACUACAAAUUUUCUCCAGAGCAACUACAGGCAGAGCUUGAUUUACAUCAGACCACUGUAACAUCAGGAAUCUUCAGGAGGAAGUGGGCCAGUUCGUGUCAGGAAAUGGUGAACGUCUGAAGCCGUGAGACUGACAACGAAGCAAUUCUGGAUAACGGCGAAGUUCGGUUACUUGCACCCUUAAUAUAUAUUUUAAAAAAAGCUGACAUAGUCUAGUAAGGUUUAAAGACAUUGAUGUAUCAACAGAACUAUACAUCAAAACUAUAGAGGAACAUUGCAAGACUAUGAUGUAUGAACAGAACUAUAGAGGAACAUUGCAAGACUAAUUGAAAUCUGGAAUGAAAUGGCAAAGGAAUCUUGCUGGGUUGCACAUGAUAGAAAUAUGCCCUAAACUAAGGGUAGCACGUGUUUCGAAAGACUGAUGAAUCUAUUGGAAGUCGCUCCCGUGCAGAGGCCAAGGGCUUGGAUUGGACUGAAGUGAGUCUGCCUGAGAGAUGCUCUUCAAGGUGCUGAAGGUAAGUGAACCCUUAGUCUUGGUAAGUAUGGAUUAUAUGAAUAAGCAUUGACUUAUGCAAGUUCACUAACUCGACACUCCCUCCCCCUCCCCCCCAACUUCAUUAGUAUUACGCCGUAAGUGUGACUGGAAUGGACCAGGCUCUUCAAAGAGGUUGGCUGUCUCCCGUGGAUUGCUCCACCGGGAGAGUGGGCAUGUAUAUCUGGGUUUGCUGAGGUGCUGAAGAUGGAGACUUCUGGGGUUUAUCCUGAUGAGUUCCAGCACUCAGUUGUGAAGGGAAUUUUGCUUGAAAUGUUUUUCAAAUACAACUUUAGUAAGCAUAUCAAUUGUCUCCCAUUGCAGCCUUUCAUAUCUAAUGUUCAUCCUUGAUUUCAUUUAAGAUUGUACAACUUUAGUAAGCAUAUCAAUUGUCUCCCAUUGCAGCCUUUCAUAUCUAAUGUUCAUCCUUGAUUUCAUUUAAGAUUGUCAAUAAAGGCAAUGUGCCGAAAACUAGCUUCCUUAAAAUGUAAGAUUUAUUAAAAGUUGUAUUAAGUUUUGUACAUGCUGUAUUUUGUUAUUUCAGAAUAUAAUAAAUUGAAGUAUGGA